GGGCCCUUUGGGAAUGAGAGAGUGGGAGGUGGAGGUGGCCAAGCAGUUGGUUUAAAGGCGAUGGGUUGGUGUUGGAAGGAAGGAGGCUUCUGAGCUCAUCAGGAAGUGUGUGGUUCAAGAGCUGUCUCUCUUUGGUCUUUGGCCAGGGGGAGGCGGGUUGGUUAUGUGACAGUCACAGUCGGAGCCUGUGAAGAACAUGGCCAUCUGUAGCAUCACGCUCUCCACCGUAAGGCAUGAUUAAGGGGAUACUGCUGGGAACUGAAGCAGAGCUCCUAGACCACCUUUCCACUGUAGCUGCAAACAUUGUAACAGACAUUUUCCAGGGAAAGAUUUCCCUGCUUGGGAGCUGUGCCUGCUGAUGACAUCUGCAGGCUGGAGGAUGGUGGAGGGUCUGAUGGGACAAGUCAUUGGUGCUCUGCUGGACACUGGGGAUUGGUGGUGACAGGACAAGUGUGGGCCCUGAUGGAACUUACCUUCCACAGGAGAAACAGAAACAAGUACACAAAGACACAAACAACAGAGUGACAGGUUGCCAGGAGUGUGGUGCAGUGAUGGGAAUAAAGAGGGUGAU